rnacentral:rRNA from 1 species
GACGAACCGUGCUAACGUUGUUCGGAUUCACUGGGCUUAAAGGGCGCGUAGGCGGCUUGCCAAGUCAGGGGUGAAAUCUUUCGGCUCAACCGGAAAAGUGCUUCUGAUACUGGUGAGCUGGAGGGAGGUAGGGGCAGAUGGAACUUCCGGUGGAGCGGUGAAAUGCGUAGAUAUCGGAAGGAACGCCGGUGGCGAAAGCGAUCUGCUGGACCUCUUCUGACGCUGAUGCGCGAAAGCCAGGGGAGCAAACGGG